UUACAAUUUGUGAAUGCGUUUUGGGGAUCCAGCGAUUCAUAGAACUUUGAUAAUUAAUAUUACAGACUGGAUUAUUUUUAAUUUGUGUUGUUUCACUUAAUUUUGUGAAAAACACUAUAAUAAGAAGAAACGUAUUAUUUGCCCACUGUGUACUCUAAAUAUGGUAGUCUGUAUAUAGUUUGUGGCUGUAUAGUUUGUGGAAGUUGCCGUAUAUUGCAACAACAUUUGAAGGAUACAUCAGCAAUUGUUCUAAAUGAACAGAGAAGGCCAGUAGUUCAAUAAAAA